rnacentral:rRNA from 1 species
GACGAACGCUGGCGGCGUGCUUAACACAUGCGAGUCGAACGGAAAGGCCCUGCCUUUGUGGGGUGCUCGAGUGGCGAACGGGUGAGUAACACGUGAGUAACCUGCCCUUGACUUUGGGAUAACCUCAGGAAACUGGGGCUAAUACCGGAUAGGAGCUCCUGCUGCAUGGGGGGGGUUGGAAAGUUUCGGCGGUUGGGGAUGGACUCGCGGCCUAUCAGCUUGUUGGUGGGGUAGUGGCUUACCAAGGCUUUGACGGGUAGCCGGCCUGAGAGGGUGACCGGCCACAUUGGGACUGAGAUACGGCCCAGACUCCUACGGGAGGCAGCAGUGGGGAAUAUUGCACAAUGGGCGGAAGCCUGAUGCAGCAACGCCGCGUGCGGGAUGACGGCCUUCGGGUUGUAAACCGCUUUCGCCUGUGACGAAGCGUGAGUGACGGUAAUGGGUAAAGAAGCACCGGCUAACUACGUG